UGCGGCGUAGCGCAGUAGCGCGCCGGACUCAUAAUCCGGAGGUCGGUGGUGCGACUCCACCCGCCGCUACCA
rnacentral:tRNA from 1 species